CUUAAAUUUAACUACUGCACUGCGUACUUAGGCAGAAUAUAUUACAAUGAAUUAUUUUAAAGGUUACUCUAUUAAAAAUUAAACUAAGGGGGAGGAAAAUGAAAUUAUUCUCAGUAUAACGAGGUCACUAUCAUUUUCUUUUACGCCUCACACACUGGAUAUUGUCUUUGCCUGUAUGGCUUGGAUAAGACCAUUAUGUCUACAAGACUCUUUUCGUUGCUUUACGGUAAAAAUUGGCGCAUGCGCAGUCUUCAACUUCCGGCAUCCGAAUGUUGUUGCUGAGGAUGAAAACACGGCGCUUGAGGAGGCGAGAGAAAGAAAAGUAGCUCCUGAGACCCCCUCCUCCUCUGUGCGCGUGAGAGCCAUGGCCGACUCGGUCAAGACCUUCCAGUCGCACCUGACCUCGGUGCUGGACAGCCUGGUGCGCGCGUCCGUGUGCGAGAUCACGAAGCUCUUCCAGGAUACGGUGAAGGACUACCUGGUGGAGAUCUCCCUCAACAGGAAGGAGAACGAGGCGCUCAAGCUGCGGCUGCGCCUCACCGAGAACAAGCUGCGCAACGAGCGCAAGUACGGCAUGGGCUGGGCGGCGGGCCGGCGCGCCCCCGGCCUGCUCGUGUCCGAGGAGAGCGGCCGCAGGAAGAGGAAGAGCGACGCGGGCAGUAAGUGCGAAGCCCACGAUUCCGGAGAGCGUCGCGUUCCCACGGACAGCAGCAGGUGGGGUGCUGGUGGUGGUUGAGAGCACGGACUUCGAGCUGCUGCCUUUGAGCCCUAAGCCUUAGCUUAGGCUUGGUGGCAGGUUCGAAUCCCGCCUCCGGCUGCGGUGCUUACCCCCACUCCAGUAAAAUUACCCACUGCUGUAAAAUGGGUAAAAUGAUUGAUGAUUGUAGUUAGUUUAACGUUGUUGGUGGCUUUGGAGAAAGCGUCAGCUGAGUGAAUACUUUUAAACAUGUUCCAGUCCCUUUCUGUUGCUCAUGACGUGAUACUCCUGAACUGUUGCCUGGUAAAAUGAAGAGCUGUAUAAAUAAAGACUGUAAGUUGCUCUGGGUAAAAGGAUCA
rnacentral:lncRNA from 1 species